CAAUGGAACAUGCAAAUAAUGGCUGAGUCAGCAGACGCACAACCUUUAUUUCAAUAAUAUCAAGCUGUAGAAACGCUCAUGGUUGCCUGAGUAACGCUUGUGUACGUUCGUGGAAGCUCUGGUAAUAUGGCUGCACUCAAAUGUGUGCUUUUGCUUCUUGUCAUCAGAAAUGAUGUGAAUGCUGCAAGAUGGAAAUCUGAGUACUGUCUUCAACCUCCAUCAUAUGGGACCUGCAAAGGGCGUAUUGCAUCUUGGUACUAUGACCCGGGGAUAGAAAAUUGUAAGAUGUUUUACUACUCAGGUUGUGGUGAAAACAAAAACCGAUUUUCCUCAGAAGGCUGGUGCCAGUGGUAUUGCCUACCCAGAAACAAGUUGCGGAAGAAUGUUUGCAGCCGGAGGUAAUAUGGUGAGAAGUGCUAUGGCCGAACGCAGCGAUGGUACUUUGAUUACAAGAACAACAUAUGCCGUGAAUUUAAGCAUGGCUACUGUGGACUUGUGCCUAAUCGGUUCGACACUUGUGAGCAAUGCAUAAGGAGAUGCAGUGAUUCUGAUCCCAAUGUUUCCUGCACUGUGCCUGAUGGCACGAAGAAAGGGUAAUGGACGGACACACAUUAUCGCUCUACGAUAACACAUCGAGAAUGUCUUCGAAACGGACAAUCGGUGCUUUCGGCCAGAACUUCUGAACACGCAGCUCCGGGGUUACAUGAAAUUUCUAAAAAGCAUGGAAUAAAUGUGUGUGCUCGAUUCGUUCAUGUGCAGCGUUUAGGACUCUGCACUGGAACGUUUUAUGCGUCUUGGUACGUUACACAAAACUGGUUAUAUUGGCAUGAGAAACUUUUAUCCCUGAACA